CAGGCAUGCUCCUUGUCAUGUCCUAUGUCCACAGGCAGUGGGUUUCCUCUCUCUGCAAGUUCACCUGGGCAGAGCCUGCUUCCUCAGCUUUGGGCCACUUCAGUCUUUUCUCCACCCCAGAUGUUUAAGUGCCCUGACUCACAGCUGGUUACACAGGAGUAUGCAGCAAAGAGUUAUGAUGCCUCCUGAUCUUCAGCUUCUGGAGUCCUGUGGAGUUAAUCCAGGUCCCUCCGGGUCCUCAGAUGCCCAGUUACAGGCUCUGAACCUAUGGUGCCAGAUCAGCUGAACAUUUG
rnacentral:lncRNA from 1 species